rnacentral:rRNA from 1 species
CAGCAGCAGCCGCGGUAAUACGUAGGUGGCAAGCGUUGUCCGGAAUUAUUGGGCGUAAAGGGCUCGCAGGCGGUCUCUUAAGUCUGAUGUGAAGGCCCCCGGCUCAACCGGGGAGGGUCAUUGGAAACUGGGAAACUUGAGUGCAGAAGAGGAGAGUGGAAUUCCACGUGUAGCGGUGAAAUGCGUAGAGAUGUGGAGGAACACCAGUGGCGAAGGCGACUCUCUGGUCUGUAACUGACGCUGAGGAGCGAAAGCGUGGGGAGCGAACAGGAUUAGAUACCCCCGUAGUCCCUGUCUCUUAUAC